rnacentral:rRNA from 1 species
UACGGGGGGGGCAAGCGUUGUUCGGAAUUACUGGGCGUAAAGGGCUCGUAGGCGGCCAACUAAGUCAGACGUGAAAUCCCUCGGCUUAACCGGGGAACUGCGUCUGAUACUGGAUGGCUUGAGGUUGGGAGAGGGAUGCGGAAUUCCAGGUGUAGCGGUGAAAUGCGUAGAUAUCUGGAGGAACACCGGUGGCGAAGGCGGCAACCUGGACCAAUUCUGACGCUGAGGAGCGAAAGCCAGGGGAGCAAACGGG